rnacentral:lncRNA from 1 species
UUUUUUUCUUUGCCCGUUAUUCUCUAUUCUGUUAAUUCACAUCCACCAUACCCUCUUAUGUGGACUUUCGGUGGUUUAUUUUUUUAGUUCUGUGAUAAGUCAAUAUUUCAUGCAGGUUCAUGAAAUAAUGGUUUUAUGCAUAUCAGCCAAGAUUGUGCGUGGAAUUUUAAUAAACAAUUCAACACCACACGUUAUGUGAAUUUGAUUAAAAUCGAUGAACAUGAAUUUGACAGCUAGUGACCCUUUUACAGGUAAAAUUCAAUUAACAAAUUCUGACCUACUGGCAUUCAACACCAAAUUACCUACUUGCUGUAUAUUGAUAAAUGUGAUUGUAUGUCAAUACCUCAACAUCGUGAAUACGCCAUGUGAGGUGUUGGUUAUGUGUGCUACGGGGUCACUGGUGGCGCCUUCAAAACAGAAAAAAAAAUCCAAGUAAAAAAGUGUGGAAUUUUGUUGUUGAAAAUUUAAGUUGUAAAUUCCUGAAAAAUGUACUUAAUUCCGUUCAACUGCUAACAUGUAAGUUCGAUACGAAAAUAGGAUAAAAAGCAUCCGAAAAAUUUGUGAUCAGUAAUUAUUAUUCGAAUAAAUGAAGAGCAAUG